CCUCCAACAUCUGCCACAUUGCCCCCCUAUCCACCCUGUCAUAUGCCUUUUCCAAAUCCAUAAAUGCCACAAAGACCUCUUUAGCCUUAUCUAAAUACUGUUCACUUAUAUGUUUCACUGUAAACACCUGGUCAACACACCCCCUACCUUUCCUAAAGCCUCCUUGUUCAUCUGCUAUCCUAUUCUCCGUCUUACCCUUUACACAAAGGAACUAUGCAUGCUCUCUGCCAAUCCCUAGGUACCUUACCCUCUUCCAUACAUUUAUUAAAUAAUUGCACCAACCACUCCAAAACUAUAUCCCCACCUGCUUUUAACAUUUCUAUCUUUAUCCCAUCAAUCCCGGCUGCCUUACCCCCUUUCAUUUUACCUACUGCCUCAAGAACUUUCCCGACACUCACAACUGGCUCUUCCUCACUGCUACAAGAUGUUAUUCCUCCUUGCCCUAUACAUGAAAUCACAGCUUCCCUAUCUUCAUCAACAUUUAACAAUUCCUGAAAAUAUUCCCUCCAUCUUCCCAAUACCUCUAACUCUCCAUUUAAUAACUCUCCUCUCCUAUUUUUAACUGACAAAUCCAUUUGUUCUCUAGGCUUCCUUAACUUGUUAAUCUCACUCCAAAACUAUUUCUUAUUUUCAACAAACUUUGUUGAUAACAUCUCACCCACUCUCUCAUUUGCUCUCUUUUUACAUUGCUUCACCACUCUCUUAAUCUCUCUCUUUUUCUCCAUAUACUCUUCCCUCCUUGCAUCACUUCUACUUUGUAAAAACUUCUCAUAUGCUAACUUUUUCUCCCUUACUACUCUCUUUACAUCAUCAUUCCACCAAUCGCUCCUCUUCCCUCCUGCACCCACUUUCCUGUAACCACAAACUUCUGCUGAACACUCUAACAUUACAUUUUUAAACCUACCCCAUACCUCUUCGACCCCAUUGCCUAUGCUCUCAUUAGCCCAUCUAUCCUCCAAUAGCUGUUUAUAUCUUACCCUAACUGCCUCCUCUUUUAGUUUAUAAACCUUCACCUCUCUCUUCCCUGAUGCUUCUAUUCUCCUUGUAUCCCAUCUACCUUUUACCCUCAGUGUAGCUACAACUAGAAAGUGAUCUGAUAUAUCUGUGGCCCCUCUAUAAACAUGUACAUCCUGAAUAAAUAACAAAAAGGCACAAUACCGUGACUGGAACGAUACACAAAUAACCCGCACAUAAAAGAGAGAAGCUUACGACGACGUUUCGGUCCGACUUGGACAGUCUUUUAUCUACCAAUACAUAAUCCAACAAACUACUGUCAUUUCGCCCUACAUCAUAUCUUGUAUACUUAUUUAUCCUCUUUUUCUUAAAAUAUGUAUUACCUAUAACUAAACCCCUUUCUAUACAAAGUUCAAUCAAAGAGCUCCCAUUAUCAUUUACACCUGGCACCCCAAACUUACCUACCACACCCUCUCUAAAAGUUUCUCCUACUUUAGCAUUCAGGUCCCCUACCACAAUUACUCUCUCACUUGGUUCAAAGGCUCCUAUACAUUCACUUAACAUCUCCCAAAAUCUCUCUCUCUCCUCUACAUUCCUCUCUUCUCCAGGUGCAUACACACUUAUUAUGACCCACUUUUUGCAUCCAACCUUUACUUUAAUCCACAUAAUUCUUGAAUUUACACAUUCAUAUUCUCUUUUCUCCUUCCAUAACUGAUCCUUCAAUAUUACUGCUACCCCUUCCUUUGCUCUAACUCUCUCAGAUACUCCAGAUUUAAUCCCAUUUAUUUCCCCCCACCGAAACUCCCCUACCCCCUUCAGCUUUGCUUCGCUUAGGGCCAGGACAUCCAACUUCUUUUCAUUCAUAACAUCAGCAAUCAUCUGUUUCUUGUCAUCCGCACUACAUCCACGCACAUUCAAGCAUCCCAAUUUUAUUAAGUUUUUCUUCUUCUCUUUUUUAGUAAAUGUCUACAGGGGUUACUAGCCCAUUGCUCCCGGCAUUUUAGUCGCCUCAUACGACACGCAUGGCUUACGGAGGAAAAAUUCUUUUCCACUUCCCCAUGGACAAUAGAAGAAAUAAAGAAGAACAAGAGCUAUUUAGAAAAAGGAGAAAAACCUAGAUGUAUGUAUAUAUAUAUGCAUGUGCGUGUCUGUGAAGUGUUUACCUGGAGUUUACCUGGAGAGAGUUCCGGGGGUCAACGUCCCUGUGGCCCGGUCUGUGACCAGAGUGACCAAAGUGUAAGCAGGAGUAGCAAGAUAUCCCUGUUAUCUAGCGUGUUUAUGAGACAGAAAAAGAAACCAGCAAUCCUACCAUCAUGCAAAACAGUUACAGGUUUCUGUUUCACAGUCAUCUGGCAGGACUGUAGUACUUCCCUGGGUGGUUGCUGUCUACCAACUUACUACCUAUAUAUUAUAUUUUUGUAAUAACAAUAAAUAAUACCAGUAUAAACACUAACAUAAUAAUAAUACAUAAUAUAAAAUCAAAUACUGGUCACCAUGGCAGGAUGACCCAAAAUAGAAAAUUAAUAACAAAAAUAAGAAAUGAAAAGAUUAGUUAUUUUUUCAAAAAAUGCCACAUUUAUGUUUAACAUAUCCACAUGCUACAUUCAAAGUGAAGAUCCUGAACCAUGUCAGAGGCACCAUGCAAAAGGUAAUAAAAGGCCCUAAAAUCUUUUAAAAUGGAAUCUUAAUGGGAUGAAUAUGGAGUUCCACCAAAGUAGAAUUCCAUAGUCAUCAAAAAUUGCAAAUAAAUAUUAUCUUGGGUUUUUAGUAUUCUGUGGAGAGGGAGCUGGUCAUCCCAGUCAUUAAAAACCACUGAUAUUGUCCCACUUCUUAGAGGUGGCAGUAAAGCAAUUGCAAAAAACCUACAGACCAAUAGUACUAACUUCACUUAAUAUGAAAAUAAUUAAUGGGUCCUGAAAAGCAAGAGUGACAAUCACAUGAAACUGUGACAAUUGUUCAAUCCAGGGCAGCAUGGGUUCAGAGCAGGUCGCUCCUGCCUUUCACAACUGCUGGACCAUUAUGAUAUGAUCUUGGAUGCACCAGAAGACAAGCUAAAUGCUGAUGUUGUGUACACUGAUUUCACAAAAGCCUUCGUUAUGUGCAACUAUGGUGUGGUAGUGCACAAAAUACAUGCAAAAUGAAUAGCUGCUAUAAUGGGUAGAUGAAUAUUUAACUUCUUUACAAACAGAACCCAAAGAGUAGCGAUAUAAAGAGUGAAGUCAGAGGCUGCCACAGUGAAAAGUUCUGUUCCUCGGGUCACAGUACUUGCCCCACUAUUUCUCAUUCUUAUAUCUGACAUUAACGAGGACAUCAAGAACAUCUUUUGCUGAUGGCACCAGAAUCUCGAUGAAGGUGUUAGUGGCAUCCAUCAAAGAGAAUGAAUCUUCAAGAGGAGUCCUGCUCUCACAGCCCACUAUGAGUGUCCCUCACGUACAACUACGUCACUGAUGCCAGAGACCCCUUGAGCAGUUCUACAUCAUGAGCUCAGCUUACUCAGAAAGCUUAUGUAAGGACCUUUAAAACAGCUGACAACUUGGUCUGCCCAGUGCACCAGCCCCAGCUGCCACGUCACUCCUAGAGAGAUAAUCAAAUACAGAAGCUGAAUCACAGCUUUACAGAAACUUUGUUUCAAGAAUGUUAUUAAAGUCACUUUUUGUCUAUGCCAUGGAAUAUAUACAGUAAAUGUUUUUGCCCUACCUUUCACUGUUUAAAUGCAAUUAACUGCCAUAAGACAUCAUUGUGUGCAUAAUAUAUCUAAUUAGUUUAUAAUGAAAAGACAUUAGUGAUGAAUAAAUAUUUUAUAAUAUAAAUAUACCUAACUCAAAUAACAAACAUUAUAUAGUACAAUAUAGUCGAACUACCAAAUUCAUGAACUUAUGAUUCACAAGAUCUGAUUAUGUAAAGUGUUUAAUGAUAGGUAUUGUAUGAAUAGCUUCAAUUAUAUGAAGUUUUUGUAGGGGUGCCCAUUUUAUUUGCAAGGAUAGGAGGGGGGCUAGAAUAGGAGCUUCCUGAAACAACUGACUACAGGAUUUUGCUCGAAAUGUUUUCAGUGCAUAUCCUAUGCCCAAAUCACUUUUCCUUCUGGGCAUUAUUACAAAUGUCAAUAUUAAUUAAAUUAUAGUGACAUUUACACAAAAUAAGCCUAAAUAUGAAACAAUUUAUCAUACAGACAGAAUUUGGUAUCGUUUGUGGAGUACAAAUUUAUGAGCCCUUUAGGAAUGUAGCCCCCAAGAAUUUGGGGCUCAACUUUAUUUUUUAAUAUAUGAAAUUGUGAAUAAAAAACUAAUGUACUACAGGAUGAGAAGAAACUAAAAUUAAUGUAAGA